rnacentral:rRNA from 1 species
UGCAGUCGAGCGGCAACAUGGGAAGCUGCUCUCUGUGUGUUGGCGACUGACGGAUGGGUGACGAAUGCAUCGCAUGCUACGUUUACUGGGAGAACUCCGGGAAAAAACUUACUCUACUACCGGCUUGACCUAACCGGUGGGUUCAAGUAACCUUCGUGCCUUGCGCGAUUGAAUGAGCCAAUGUCCGAUUAGCUAUUUGGCGGUGUAAAGGCCCACCACGGCCACGAUCCGUAACUGGUCUGAAACGAUGAUCGGCCACACUGGAACUGAGACACGGUCCAGACUCCUACGGCAGGCGGCAGUGGGGAAUAUUGAACAAUGGGCGCGGGCCUGAUCCCGCCAUACCGCGUGGCUGAAGAAGGCCUUCGGGUUGUAAAGCCCUUUUGUUGGUGAUGAGGUCCAACUGGCUACCACCCGGUUGGGAUGACGGUUCCCAGAGACUAAACACCGGCGCACUUCGUGCCAACUGCCGCGGUACUACGAAAGGUGCUAGCGUUACUCGGUAUUACUGGGUAUUUGGCGUGCAUACGUGGUCAGUUGAGUUCCGUUGUGAAAGCCCUGAGCUCCACGUGUGACCUGGAGUGGAUACUUGGGAGACUAGGGAGUUGUAGAGGGUAGCAGAAAUCCUGGAUUUAACAGUGAAAUGCGUAAAGGUCAAGAAGAAUCAUACAAAGCCCAA